rnacentral:rRNA from 1 species
GUGAGGAAUAUUGCACAAUGGGCGAAAGCCUGAUGCAGCGACGCCGCGUGGGUGAAGAAGGUCUUCGGAUCGUAAAGCCCUUUUCUGCGUGACGAGGAAGGACGGUAGCGCAGGAAUAAGUCUCGGCUAACUACGUGCCAGCAGCCGCGGUAAAACGUAGGAGACAAACGUUAUCCGGAGUUACUGGGCGUAAAGGGCGUGCAGGCGGUUUCUUAAGUUCGUCGUGAAAUCGCCCGGCUUAACCGGGCGGGGUCGAUGGAUACUGGGGAACUAGAGGGCGGUAGAGGCGUGUGGAAUUCCGGGUGUAGUGGUGAAAUGCGUAGAUAUCCGGAGGAACACCAGUGGCGAAGGCGACACGCUGGGCCGUACCUGACGCUAAGACGCGACAGCAUGGGGAGCGAACGGGAUUAGAUACCCGGGUAGUCC